GACGAACGCUGGCGGCGUGCCUAAUACAUGCAAGUUGAGCGCUGAAGGUUGGUUCUUGUACCAACUGGCUGAGCAGCGAACGGGUGAGUAACGCGUGGGGAAUCUGCCUUUGAGCGGGGUACAACAUUUGGAAACGAAUGCUAAUACCGCAUAAAAACUUUAAACACAAGUUUUAAGUUUGAAAGAUGCAAUUGCAUCACUCAAAGAUGAUCCCGCGUUGUAUUAGCUAGUUGGUGAGGUAAAGGCUCACCAAGGCGAUGAUACAUAGCCGACCUGAGAGGGUGAUCGGCCACAUUGGGACUGAGACACGGCCCAAACUCCUACGGGAGGCAGCAGUAGGGAAUCUUCGGCAAUGGACGAAAGUCUGACCGAGCAACGCCGCGUGAGUGAAGAAGGUUUUCGGAUCGUAAAACUCGGUUGGUAGAGAAGAACGUUGGUGAGAGUGGAAAGCUCAUCAAGUGACGGUAACUACCCAGAAAGGGACGGCUAACUACGUG
rnacentral:rRNA from 1 species